AUGAAAACAAUUACCACCCCUAAACACAACACUUCCUUUUUAAUUGACACCAUAACAUACCAUUCAUUUACCAUUCACUGUAAAUCAUUCAAACACCUAACAUCGUACAAAGAAAGGAAGAACGAAAACACCACCACCCACACCAGUCGACCAUCACGCCACAUCGAAUCUUCCAAGUCCACAACACAGUCGUUGCGUUCACAUGUCGAAUCACCUCCAGAUCGACUUCUCCACUAUCGAUCUCGCUCAGACUAA